rnacentral:rRNA from 1 species
CCUACGGGCGGCUGCAGUGGGGAAUAUUGGGCAAUGGGCGAAAGCCUGACCCAGCAACGCCGCGUGAAGGAAGAAGGCUUUCGGGUUGUAAACUUCUUUUGACAGGGAAGAGCAGAAGACGGUACCUGUCGAAUAAGCCACGGCUAACUACGUGCCAGCAGCCGCGGUCAUACGUAGGGGGCAAGCGUUAUCCGGAUUUACUGGGUGUAAAGGGAGCGUAGACGGCCAGACAAGUCAGAAGUGAAAGCCCAGGGCUCAACCCUGGGACUGCUUUUGAAACUGCCGGGCUGGAGUGCAGGAGAGGUAAGCGGAAUUCGUAGUGUAGCGGUGAAAUGCGUAGAUAUUAGGAGGAACACCAGUGGCGAAGGCGGCUUACUGGAGUGUAACUGACGUUGAGGCUCGAAAGCGUGGGGAGCAAACAGGAUUAGAUACCCUAGUAGUC